rnacentral:snRNA from 1 species
AGCUUUGCGCAGUGGCAGUAUCGUAGCCAAUGAGGUUUAUCCGAGGCGCGAUUAUUGCUAAUUGAAAGUAUACAGGUGUUCUUCCCCACUACAGGGAAAGUUUCUUUGGCACUGAACAAA